AACGAACGCUGGCGGCAGGCCUAACACAUGCAAGUCGAACGCCCUAGCAAUAGGGAGUGGCAGACGGGUGAGUAACACGUGGGAACCUUCCCUAUAGUACGGAAUAGCCCAGGGAAACUUGGAGUAAUACCGUAUACGCCCGAAAGGGGAAAGAUUUAUCGCUAUAGGAUGGGCCCGCGUCGGAUUAGCUAGUUCGUGAGGUAAUGGCUCACCAAGGCAACGAUCCGUAGCUGGUUUGAGAGAAUGACCAGCCACACUGGGACUGAGACACGGCCCAGACUCCUACGGGAGGCAGCAGUGGGGAAUCUUGGACAAUGGGCGCAAGCCUGAUCCAGCCAUGCCGCGUGAGUGAUGAAGGCCUUAGGGUUGUAAAGCUCUUUUGUCGGGGACGAUAAUGACGGUACCCGAAGAAUAAGCUCCGGCUAACUUCGUGCCAGCCGCCGCCGUAA
rnacentral:rRNA from 1 species